rnacentral:rRNA from 1 species
GAUGAACGCUGGCGGCGUGCUUAACACAUGCAAGUCGAACGAGAAGUGAAGACGGAAACCUUCGGGCGGAAGGCUUUAUUUCGAGUGGCGGACGGGUGAGUAACGCGUGGGUAUCCUGCCUCAUACAGGGGGAUAACAGUUGGAAACGACUGUUAAUACUGCAUAAGACCACAGCACCGCAUGGUGCGGGGGUAAAAACUCCGGUGGUAUGGGAUGGACCCGCGUUAGAUUAGCCAGCUGGCGGGGUAACGGCCAACCAAAGCGACGAUCGAUAGCCGAUCUGGUAGGAUGCCCGACCACAUUGGGACUGAGACACGGCCCAAAAUCCUACGGGAGGCAGCAGUGGGGAAUAUAGCGCGAUGGAGGAAAACGUGAUGCAGCGACGUCGCGUAAGUGAAGAAGUAGUUCGGUAUGUAAAGCUCUAUGAGCAGGGAAGAGAAUGACGGUACCUGAGUAAGAAGCCCCGGCUAACUACGUG